CGCUACUUGACCGGGCGUCGCAUCACGGAAUGAACUCUGUCAUCGGCCGCCGCACAUCACCUCGUCCGUUUCCUGCCCACGCUAAUCAUCGCACGAGGGACCGUCUACUCGGCGCCAAGUGACAGGGGCGUCGGUACUACGAAAGCUCGGGACCACCGUGAGACGCAACGGCACCUUUACCGAGGACCGGAGAGCGCACCGGCAGCGAUGUGACUGACGUCAAGCUGCAGUGACGACACAGCACGGCGCGGCCUGUAAUCAGGAGGUCGGCAGCGAUAAAAGCCCGCCCGCCCUCCCACGCCGACUGCGAGCUCAGCUCGGCGCUUGUUGGUCGCCCGCUGCGAGCAGAAAGUCUGAAGUGCAAAGACUGCGGCGGCGGCGGCGGCGGCGGCACCUCGUGUCAGCAGUUGCGAGCGCCGAUAGCGCCGUAUCAUUCCCACCGUGGAACGCUAGGCGUCCGCUGGCCGCGAGCGCUGGAUUAAAAGUAAGCUGCCGUGGAUGAUCAACAGCUGCGCCAGCCUUACUGAUCAAACGCCUCUGGAAACUUGAGGAUAAUCCAACAACAUCUAUUCAUAGUAAGCUGUUGGCGGUAUAUGAGGACAAACAAAUGGAAGUAAUGUGUUUCGAUGGCUUUUGAGAUUUUGACAUGGUACAGCAACAAGGGCCAGCCAUAUUGAGGCAGACUAUUACCUACUAUGUCUAAUGAAAAAGCUUCCAUCAGCGGUGAACGACUCCUAUAAACAACAUCGUCCGCGAUUCAAGAAGUCUGAAUGUGUCUUAAGAAAAAAGUGACCAGAGCUACACACUACAAACAUCUCUUUGCUUCGCGAUAAAGAAAACCUGCAUACUGUGCAUACGACAACUCAGAAGACCGUCCAUCUCUGAUGAUCAGUGACUACACAAAACUCAGACCCUGUCGACCUAGCACAUUCGGUCAUUUAUCUUCUAAAAAACUAAAGGCAUUGGGAACAGUUUCGAGCUCACAGCACAUGUGAAAAAGUUGUGUAAUGCUGAAUGUCGAUAGCGCCAGGAGUGUUACUUUUUAUUUCUUUAUUUAAACGUCACGUUCCGUGGUACCAAAUUGAGAGCAAAUCUCGAAGGUCAUGGAAUGUGUCAGUACUUGAAGUUAAAACAUAAAAGUAAUAAAAGAUACCAAUAAAAUGUU